UACGGGGGGGGCAAGCGUUGUUCGGAAUUACUGGGCGUAAAGCGUGCGCAGGCGGUUUUGUAAGUCAGAUGUGAAAUCCCCGGGCUUAACCUGGGAAUGGCAUUUGGGACUGCAAGGCUGGAGUGCGGCAGAGGAGACUGGAAUUCCUGGUGUAGCAGUGAAAUGCGUAGAUAUCAGGAGGAAUACCGAUGGCGAAGGCAGGUCUCUGGGCUGACACUGACGCUCAUGCACGAAAGCGUGGGGAGCAAACAGG
rnacentral:rRNA from 1 species